rnacentral:rRNA from 1 species
AGAGUUUGAUCCUGGCUCAGGAUAAACGCUGGCGGCGUGCUUAACACAUGCAAGUCGAACGAAGUUUUUCUUUCGGGAGGAACUUAGUGGCGGACGGGUGAGUAACGCGUGGGUAACCUGCCCUGUACAGGGGGACAACAGCUGGAAACGGCUGCUAAUACCGCAUAAGCCCUUAGCACUGCAUGGUGCAUAGGGAAAAGGAGCAAUCCGGUACAGGAUGGACCCGCGUCUGAUUAGCCAGUUGGCAGGGUAACGGCCUACCAAAGCGACGAUCAGUAGCCGAUCUGAGAGGAUGUACGGCCACAUUGGGACUGAGACACGGCCCAGACUCCUACGGGAGGCAGCAGUGGGGAAUAUUGCACAAUGGAGGAAACUCUGAUGCAGCGACGCCGCGUGAGUGAAGAAGUAUUUCGGUAUGUAAAGCUCUAUCAGCAGGGAAGAAAAUGACGGUACCUGACUAAGAAGCACCGGCUAAAUACGUGCCAGCAGCCGCGGUAAUACGUAUGGUGCAAGCGUUAUCCGGAUUUACUGGGUGUAAAGGGAGCGCAGGUGGCAAGGCAAGCCAGAAGUGAAAACCCGGGGCUCAACCGCGGGAUUGCUUUUGGAACUGUCAUGCUAGAGUGCAGGAGGGGUGAGCGGAAUUCCUAGUGUAGCGGUGAAAUGCGUAGAUAUUAGGAGGAACACCGGAGGCGAAGGCGGCUCACUGGACUGUAACUGACACUGAGGCUCGAAAGCGUGGGGAGCAAACAGGAUUAGAUACCCUGGUAGUCCACGCUGUAAACGAUGGAUACUAGGUGUGCGGGGACUGACCCCCUGCGUGCCGCAGUUAACACAAUAAGUAUCCCACCUGGGGAGUACGAUCGCAAGGUUGAAACUCAAAGGAAUUGACGGGGGCCCGCACAAGCGGUGGAUUAUGUGGUUUAAUUCGAAGCAACGCGAAGAACCUUACCAGGUCUUGACAUCCUGCUAACGAAGUAGAGAUACAUUAGGUGCCCUUCGGGGAAAGCAGAGACAGGUGGUGCAUGGUUGUCGUCAGCUCGUGUCGUGAGAUGUUGGGUUAAGUCCCGCAACGAGCGCAACCCCUAUUGUUAGUUGCUACGCAAGAGCACUCUAGCGAGACUGCCGUUGACAAAACGGAGGAAGGUGGGGACGACGUCAAAUCAUCAUGCCCCUUAUGACCUGGGCUACACACGUAAUACAAUGGCGGUCAACAAAGGGAUGCAAAGCCGCGAGGCAGAGCGAACCCCAAAAAGCCGUCCCAGUUCGGAUCGCAGGCUGCAACCCGCCUGCGUGAAGUCGGAAUCGCUAGUAAUCGUGGGUCAGCAUACCACGGUGAAUACGUUCCCGGGCCUUGUACACACCGCCCGUCACACCAUGAGAGUCGGGAACACCCGAAGUCCGUAGCCUAACCGCAAGGAGGGCGCGGCCGAAGGUGGGUUCGAUAGUUGGGGUGAAGUCGUAACAAGGUA